rnacentral:rRNA from 1 species
AGAGUUUGAUCCUGGCUCAGGACGAACGCUGGCGGCGUGCUUAACACAUGCAAGUCGAACGGUGAUCUUGAGAGCUUGCUCUUGGGUGAUCAGUGGCGAACGGGUGAGUAACACGUGAGGAACCUGCCCCAGACUCUGGAAUAACCCCGGGAAACCGGAGCUAAUACCGGAUAUGACACCAGAUCGCAUGGUCAUGGUGUGGAAAGUUUUUCGGUCUGGGAUGGCCUCGCGGCCUAUCAGUUUGUUGGUGAGGUAGUGGCUCACCAAGGCGACGACGGGUAGCCGGCCUGAGAGGGCGACCGGCCACACUGGGACUGAGACACGGCCCAGACUCCUACGGGAGGCAGCAGUGGGGAAUAUUGCACAAUGGGCGAAAGCCUGAUGCAGCGACGCCGCGUGAGGGAUGACGGCCUUCGGGUUGUAAACCUCUUUCAGCAGGGAAGAAGCGAAAGUGACGGUACCUGCAGAAGAAGCACCGGCUAACUACGUGCCAGCAGCCGCGGUAAUACGUAGGGUGCGAGCGUUGUCCGGAAUUAUUGGGCGUAAAGAGCUUGUAGGCGGUUUGUCGCGUCUGCCGUGAAAAUCCGGGGCUCAACCCCGGACUUGCGGUGGGUACGGGCAGACUAGAGUGUGGUAGGGGAGACUGGAAUUCCUGGUGUAGCGGUGAAAUGCGCAGAUAUCAGGAGGAACACCGAUGGCGAAGGCAGGUCUCUGGGCCACUACUGACGCUGAGAAGCGAAAGCGUGGGGAGCGAACAGGAUUAGAUACCCUGGUAGUCC